GAUGAACGCUAGCGGCAGGCCUAAUACAUGCAGGUCGAACGGUGUCUUCGGACAUAGUGGCGCACGGGUGCGUAACACGUACGCAACCUACCUUACAUUGGGGGAUAGCCUUUCGAAAGGGAGAUUAAUACCGCAUAAGACAGUAGCUGGGCAUCCAGCAGCUGUUAAAGAUUUAUCGAUGUAAGCUGGGCAUGCGUCCAAUUAGCUAGUUGGUGAGGUAACGGCUCACCAAGGCAAUGAUUGGUAGGGGAACUGAGAGGUCAAUCCCCCACACUGGCACUGAGAUACGGGCCAGACUCCUACGGGAGGCAGCAGUAGGGAAUAUUGGGCAAUGGACGCAAGUCUGACCCAGCCAUGCCGCGUGCAGGAUGAAGGCGUUAUGCGUUGUAAACUGCUUUUAUACAGGAAGAAACGACUCUUGCGAGAGGCAUUGACGGUACUGUAUGAAUAAGCACCGGCUAACUCCGUGCCAGCCGCCGCGGUAAAAC
rnacentral:rRNA from 1 species